UUUUUUUUUUCUUUUUUUUCUUUAAUGCCAUUUGAGACCUAUUUCAUUUUGUAGCUUUCUAGGAGUUCAGAGUAUGGAUGUCUUAAAUUUUACAUUAUGAUUUUUUUUUUGAUGCUAUUUAGACUGCUUCGUAGAAGUACAUACUAAAAACUGCCCUGAUAGAAAGCGUUUUGUGUAAACGUUAGGAUAGAUGUAGAACUCAGGGUAACACAGUUCCCACCCCACCUUCUUAAAAGCAAGGAAAGAAAGAAUAGUGAUCUAUGUAAAGCAAACCCAGUAGUGAGAUUGCUUGGUGGCGUUCUUAAAGUCAUUACUUUUUUACACACACAGGUCUUUUCUCAACAAAUAAUCUGCACAGGAAGUGCAAGGGGAUCAAGGAAUCGCGAGGGUAAAGACAGAAAGGGAGCUGGUGAGACAGGCAUCUUGGUCCAAGGGCUCGGGCAGUGUCCAGGUGAAGGACCGGGUCUUGCGUUGGGCCCCACCCGGUUAUUUCCAUUCUUUCCAGGUUAGACUGAGGGAGUAAUCCCCUAGGAUAUAAAAAAAAAAGAGCCUCGAGGAACGGAAUGUGCCCUGAGAACAGUCGUGAACGGCAGCGAGACCAGGAAAGGAUGCAGGAUGCCAACGGCAGCCAUCACUAUGGCGGCCGCGCCGGGAGCAGGCGGUCGACUCGCUUUCCCAGCGGCUCCCGCGGUCCGCAGGGCCGAGAGUCCACUGGCUCUGGCGUGCGGGGGCGGGGCCGAAGCCGGAAGUCACGUGCCGUGACAGCGGCUGGGGUGAGGCCCGCGUCGCGGCUGUGGCUGCUCGGGGCUGUGUCUGUGGGAGGUUCCGCGGCGAUGGCCGUGGACACUCUGUCGCCCGACUGGGACUUCGACCGCGUGGACGACGGCUCUCAGAAAAUUCAUGCUGAAGUCCAGCUGAAGAACUACGGGAGGUUCCUUGAGGAGUACACAUCUCAGCUGAGAAGAAUUGAGGACGCCCUAGAUGAUUUGAUUGGCGAUGUUUGGGAUUUCAAUCUUGAUCCUAUAGCAUUAAAGCUUCUGCCCUAUGAGCAGUCUUCCCUUUUGGAACUCAUAAAGACUGAAAACAAGGUCCUGAACAAAGUCAUCACUGUUUAUGCGGCACUUUGUUGCGAGAUCAAGAAAUUAAAAUAUGAGGCAGAAACUAAGUUUUACAAUGGUCUUCUGUUUUAUGGUGAAGGAGCUACAGAUUCCAGCAUGGUGGAAGGUGACUGCCAAAUUCAAAUGGGGAGAUUCGUUUCAUUCUUACAGGAACUGUCCUGCUUUGUGACGAGGUGCUACGAAGUGGUGAUGAAUGUCAUCCACCAGCUGGCUGCCCUGUACAUCAGCAACAAGAUAGGACCCAAAAUUAUAGAGACAACUGGAGUUCAUUUUCAGACUAUGUAUGAGCACUUGGGAGAACUGCUAACAGUUUUACUUACCCUGGAUGAGAUUGUUGAUAAUCAUGUCACGCUGAAAGACCACUGGACUAUGUACAAAAGGUUGCUGAAAUCUGUCCAUCACAACCCUUCAAAAUUUGGGAUUCAGGAAGAAAAGUUAAAGCCCUUUGAGAAGUUCUUGCUGAAGCUGGAAGGGCAGUUACUUGAUGGAAUGAUAUUUCAGGCCUGUAUCGAACAGCAGUUUGAUUCUCUCAAUGGAGGAAUAUCUGUGUCGAAAAAUAGCACGUUUGCAGAAGAGUUUGCACAUAGCAUUCGCUCAAUUUUUGCAAAUGUGGAAGCCAAGCUUGGUGAGCCUUCUGAAAUUGACCAGAGAGACAAGUAUGUUGGAAUUUGUGGGCUCUUUGUACUGCACUUUCAGAUUUUUCGGACUGUUGAUAAAAAGUUUUAUAAGUCUUUAUUGGACAUUUGUAAGAAGGUGCCAGCCAUCACUUUAACUGCUAAUAUUAUUUGGUUUCCUGAUAAUUUUCUGAUUCAUAAAAUGCCAGCAGCUGCCAAACUUCUAGACAGAAAAAGUCUUCAAGCCAUUAAAAUACACAGGGAUACCUUCCUACAGCAGAAAGCUCAGUCACUUAACAAAGAUGUGCAGUCUUACUACGUCUUUGUGAGCUCAUGGAUGAUGAAGAUGGAGUCUAUGUUAUCUAAAGAGCAGAGGAUGGAUACAUUUGCUGAAGACCUCACCAACAGAUGCAAUGUUUUCAUACAGGGUUUCUUAUAUGCAUAUAGUAUUAGUACCAUUAUUAAGACCACAAUGAAUCUCUACAUGUCCAUGCAGAAGCCUAUGACCAAAACUUCAGUGAAGGCAUUAUGCAGGCUCAUUGAACUUCUCAAGGCAAUAGAGCAUAUGUUCUACAGGAGAAGCAUGGUUGUGGCGGAUUCGGUGUCACAUAUAACACAGCACCUUCAACAUCAGGCUCUUAGUUCUAUUUCUGUAGCCAAGAAAAGAGUAAUUUCAGACAAAAAAUAUAGUGAACAGCGUCUUGAUGUGCUAUCUGCUCUUGUUUUGGCUGAAAACACCUUAAAUGGACCAAGCACAAAACAACGACGACUUAUUGUUUCUUUGGCAUUGAGCGUUGGCACGCAAAUGAAAACAUUUAAAGAUGAAGAACUCUUUCCCCUUCAAGUAGUCAUGAAGAAGCUGGAUCUUAUCAGCGAGCUUAGAGAGCGAGUCCAAGCACAGUGUGACUGCUGUUUUUUAUACUGGCAUCGCGCUGUCUUCCCGAUUUAUUUAGAUGAUGUAUAUGAAAAUGCUGUCGAUGCAGCCAGAUUACAUUACAUGUUCAGUGCUUUACGAGACUGUGUGCCUGCCAUGAUGCAUUCAAGGCAUUUAGAGUCCCAUGAGCUGCUUUUGGAUUGCUAUGACAAGGAAAUCAUGGACAUUUUAAAUGAGCAUUUGCUGGAUAAGCUGUGUAAGGAGAUCGAGAAGGACUUGCGGCUUUCUGUGCAUACUCACUUGAAGCUGGAUGACCGGAACCCCUUCAAAGUUGGCAGGAAAGACUUGGCGCUCUUUUUCUCUCUGAACCCUAUUCGGUUUUUCAAUCGAUUCAUUGAUAUUCGAGCUUAUGUAACUCACUAUCUGGAUAAGACUUUCUACAAUCUCACAACAGUAGCUCUUCAUGAUUGGGCCACUUACAGUGAAAUGAGAAAUCUGGCUACGCAGCGUUAUGGUUUGGUUAUGACAGAGGCACAUCUUCCUAGCCAGACUUUGGAGCAGGGACUCGAUGUCCUGGAAAUUAUGAGAAACAUUCACAUAUUUGUCUCAAGAUACCUCUAUAAUCUCAAUAACCAGAUUUUUAUUGAACGGACAAGCAACAAUAAACAUUUGAAUACUAUUAAUAUUCGACACAUUGCUAAUUCGAUUCGAACACAUGGGACGGGGAUCAUGAAUACAACAGUUAAUUUCACGUACCAGUUUUUGAAAAAGAAGUUCUAUAUAUUUAGUCAGUUUAUGUAUGAUGAGCAUAUCAAAUCCAGAUUGAUUAAAGAUAUUCGGUUUUUCAGGGAGAUCAAGGACCAAAAUGACCACAAGUAUCCUUUUGAUAGAGCAGAAAAAUUCAAUCGUGGCAUAAGAAAACUUGGAAUCACACCAGAGGGACAGAGCUACCUUGACCAGUUCAGGCAGCUCAUCAGCCAGAUUGAUUCGUGCCGGAUCUUGAAGACAUUGUGAGUUUUGAAGAGCUCGUGAAAGAAGAAGGGCUUGCAGAAGAAACACUUAGAGCAGCCAGGCAUUUGGACUCAGUCCUCAGUGAUCAUACACGGAACUCUGCUGAAGGUACAGAAUAUUUCAAAAUGCUUGUAGAUGUUUUUGCUCCAGAAUUUCGAAGGCCAAAGAAUAUACAUCUCCGAAAUUUCUAUAUCAUUGUUCCUCCUCUUACUCUGAACUUUGUAGAACAUUCUAUAAGUUGCAAAGAGAAGUUGAAUAAAAAAAAUAAACUAGGAGCUGCAUUUACUGACGAUGGUUUUGCCAUGGGUGUGGCUUAUACCUUAAAGCUUUUGGAUCAGUACCAAGAGUUUGAUUCACUUCAUUGGUUCCAGUCUGUUAGAGAAAAAUACAUAAAGGAGAUCAGAGCAGUUGCUAAGCAACAGAACGUGCAGUCAACUAGUCAAGAUGAAAAACUACUCCAAACCAUGAACCUUACUCAGAAGCGACUGGAGGUCUAUUUACAGGAAUUUGAGCUGCUGUAUUUCUCCUUGAGCAGUGCAAGAAUAUUCUUCAGAGCAGACAAGACCGCAGCUGAAGAGAACCAAGAAAAGAAAGAGAAGGAAGAAGAAACUAAAACAAGCAAUGGAGAUGGACCCGAGAGCACUGUGUCUGCAGAUCCCGUGGUGAAAUGAUGGUGUGCAGUCGUCAGACGUAUCAUGAUGCUUUUCCAGAGACAUGGAUGCUAUGGCGUGCUUGAUAAGUUGUCAUUUCCCAGGUCACACCUAAGGAGACUGUACGGACUGCUCUGGCUCUGGAGUCAAGUCCACUUUAUUUCUGAUGCUCCAGCUUUCAAGGGCCGAGAAGCAAACGGUAAGACUGGAUCUUUGGAGUGUAGGCUGAAGGCGCCCCUGUGAAACUGCCAUGAAGCUGGCGAAGGGCAAGUCCAGAUCCCUAACCCAUCGCCUCCCUUCCCUGUACUCUGUGUGUGUUUGUAAUUUGUCUGUGUCUUUGAUUCAUGUUGAUCUCAAGUCAUGGGAAAGUCAGUGCAUAUGCGGUACACAGCCAGUAAAUAACGCAGUUAAAAAGAGUUGAGCCUGAAAGUCAUGAAGCAUCUGUAUCAGAGACUGUGUGAGGAUGCUAGACAUGAGCAGACUGUUACUGCCUGUGCACAGCGUGGCCAGCUGGUGAUCCUUCCUGUGUUGUUGGAUUCCACGUGACUCACAUGAGCUGCUGAUGUCUUUGGUGAGACAUUUUAUAAUAGUUUACAUUGCUUUGGGAACAUUUAUCCUCCAACAAUUGCUUUAAAUUUAAGAUUUAAUACUCAAAGAAAACUCAGAUUAAGCCAUAGACGGGACCCACUUGACAUUUCACUAGGUUUGAAGGCACUCUGUGAUACUAGGGAAGAAAAGAAUGAACUAUCUACAGCCAAACUCAGGUUUCUUCAUUACUUUAAAUUGAAAUCUUGGUGGCAGUUUAGACAGAAUUUUACUUUAAAUCAAGUAUAAUCUAAGAUAUAAGAUUAAAUAAUAACUGCACUAUGACAGGUGUUCAGAAAUAUACCACUGUGAGAAUGAAACUAGUUAAGUCACUUACUGAUUUUAAAAGAAUGAAAGACUUUGAGCAAAUUUAGUUCCCAACAAGCUACUAGCUUUAUUUUUGUAAAGGUAUGCUAGCUGAUAGUUAAAUGGAUUAAUCAUGGCCUUUUUUGAACGUAUACUAAAAUGAUGCCUUUGGGAUGGAAAGGAAGGUUUAGAACUUUAAAUAUAAUACAGACCUUUUUUGGGAAUUGCUUGUUUUUUAUUGCAUUUACCUGCUUAACCAUUUCUUUGGAUACAUCUUGCAUGUAAUCCUAACACUUAGAAUUCUGACAUUCUUCCUUGGUUCCCGCUUUUGGAGUGGAGAUACAGUGCCCAACCUAGACUCAGUGGUUGCGGUCAGGGCAACUGUCUCAGCCCAAGCUAAAUACUUUGACUGUUAAGUCAGAAGAAACAGAAUAGAUUGGAAAUGGUUUUUAUUAUAUAAACAUGGCUUAUAGAAUUAUGAACAAAGAAUGGAUUAAAGGCAUUUAAUGUUUGUAAUUGAUACUAACUGUAGAGAUGGCCCUAAAGCAUGCUGCAUAAUUAAUAAUUUAUAUUUUCAUUAUUAUAAAUGUUUAUAUUAAUGAUACUGGAUUUGAUUAUAUCAAAUUAGUCACCAUUUUAUAGUACCAAUAUUUCUGUCUUUUUCUUAAAAAUGUUCUUUAAUUAUUCCUGAACAUGAGAGUUCACAUAUUCCUUGGACACUUAAAAUGGGAAGUGACAGGUAACUGUUUUAACUUUAGUUAAAAAUAAUGUCACUGGGGCUGGUGAGAUGGCUCAGUGGGUAAGAGCACCCGACUGCUCUUCCGAAGGUCCAGAGUUCAAAUCCCAGCAACCACAUGGUGGCUCACAACCAUCUGUAACAAGAUCUGACGCCCUCUUCUGGAGUGUCUGAAGACAGCUACAGUGUACUUACAUAUAAUAAAUAAAUAAAUCUUUAAAAAAAAAAAAAAUAAUGUCACUGUAGUCUGGAUAAAUUAUAAUAAGUUCAUGUAUUUGAAAUAAAGUCUCUGAUGAGAGAAAUAUUUAAAUGGUAUUAAACUGCUGAGCAACAGGGCUUCAGUAUGUUCACACCUGGGUUACUGUAUACGUUGGAUGAUGGUUUUCUUUUGCUAACAAUAUUUUUUCAGAAAUAUUGUAAUUUAAAUAUUAACAUGAGUGUUUUGUUGUAAAUUCACAGAAAACUUAAUGAUGUUCAAAUUCUCAGGAAUUAAGAACUAACCAUAACAUUGUCAGUUCUGAUUAAAUUUUGUAAAAGACAGCAAGUUUGUUAUCUCACUUGAGUGGGGUUCUCCUUUCCCUUGGCUCAAAUAGAAUACAAUACGUAUAAUAAAGCAUUAAUAAAUAUAAUUUCAAAACUG